rnacentral:lncRNA from 1 species
UUUGGGGCAGGGGGAGGAGGGAAGGGGAGCGGCUUUGGGAAGCAGCCGGGGCCGGGAGAGCCGAGCGGGCUCCGAGCGGGAUGGGAGAGCCUAAUUGAGCCAUAUGAUCAUUUCUUUGUUGGCAUUUCUUCUUUUUCUCCUUUCUUUUCAUCUCUGCCCGUCGGGGACUGGGGAGGACCCGAUUAACCCACCCAAAUCACGAGCAGACAACACCAAAAGCGAGUCGCGUUUUCCCCCACAUCCUCCUCCUCCUCAUCCUCGUACCCCAGGCUUUUCCUCCCCAAAAUUCCCCUUUCCACCACUCGUGCGCUCGGAUUAAAACCUCCCAACAUUUCUGCCGUUCCCACGACGAGGCCUAUAGGACACGGAGCGAUAUAUUCCCAUUUUUCACUUUUGCUACCUGUAAUAAACGCAUCGGAAACCAAAUCUUCCCCCUCCUAAAAGAUAUUGUGAGAAAGGGAAAGGGCACUCGUGAAGGGACUGAUUUUCUUUGAGGGGAAUAGUUUGAUUUCCACGGAGAUUUGGGUUUUUUUUUUAACUCGGAGAUAUUUUAUUUCCUCGUGGACACGCUGCCGGUGGCAAACGCUUUGAACGUGAUUUUUGCACGGGUGCUUUGUGCUGUGUUUAGAGCUCCAUCCCCGGGUGUUUUGGGGGCAGAUCAGGGAGAUUCGGCGGCAGAGUGAUACAAAGCAAAGAAAUCCACCCUUUUCGCGAGCCGGGGGGGAACAUUCGAUGCGGAGCAAAGCUCAGGGUCAGAGAUGCGCUCGCACAGCAAAAAUAAAAAGAAAUACAGAGAGAAGCAGAGGGAAUAUUCUGCACCAGCCUCCUCGGGGGUGAAAGCCCCGGGGAAGGUGAUUGUUUUCCCCAAAAAAAGGCGAUUUUUUGGGGUGCUUCCCGAGCAGCCGCCCUGCUCCACGUUCUGCUCCGCGCCGAGGGAGCCGGGGCUGCUCGUUCUCCUCCUGCUCCGGGGAAAAGCUCCAGAAAUAACUGUGCCAACCUCCUCCCACCCCCUCCCUGCCUACCUGCCCCCGGCCCGGGGCUUGCCCAGGGCUCUCCCGUGCCUGGCCCGGGCCCGUUUGCACCGGGAACGGGAGGGCCGGUGCUGUCUGCAGGAUGAUUUUUUUUUCUCGAAAAGGAGGGAAAAGAUGGGAGGGGGGAGGAUAGAAAGGUAAAAAAAAAAAAAAAAAGAAAAG